GCACUGUUGAGGAAUCCCACAACAGGGCGAAACGGUCGUCCAGUGC
rnacentral:hammerhead_ribozyme from 1 species